ACGCUCGACACCUACGGGAGGCGAGCAGUUAGGGAAUAUUGGACAAUGGAGGAAACUCUGAUCCAGUGACGCCGCGUGAAGGAAGAAGGUCUUCGGAUUGUAAACUUAUUUUGUCAGGGAAGAAAAAAUGACUGUACCUGAAGAAAAAGCACCGGCUAACUACGUGCCAGUAGCCGCGGUAAUCUGAGCGGGCUGGCAAGGC
rnacentral:rRNA from 1 species